rnacentral:rRNA from 1 species
AUUGAACGCUGGCGGCAGGCCUAACACAUGCAAGUCGCGCGAGCGGCGGACGGUUGAGUAAUGUCUGGGAAACUGCCUGAUGGAGGCGGAUAACUACUGGAAACGGUAGCCAAUACCGCAUACCAUCAGAUGUGCCCAGAUGGGAUUAGCUAGCAGGUGGGGUAAUGGCUCACCUAGGCGUCGAUCCCUAGCUGGGCUGAGAGGAUGACCAGCAACACUGGAGAUGGGACGCGGUGCAGACUCGUGCGUGAGGCAGCAGUGGGAAAUAUAACACAAUGAGCAGAAGCCUAAUGCAGCCAUGCCGCGUGUGUGAAGAAGGCCUUCGGGUUGUAGAGCACUUUAAGCGGGGAGGCGUUACCCGCAGAAGAAGCACCGGCUAACUCCGUGCCAGCAGCCGCGGUAAUAC